UACGAAGGGGGCUAGCGUUGCUCGGAAUCACUGGGCGUAAAGCGCACGUAGGCGGACUCUUAAGUCGGUGGUGAAAUCCUGGAGCUCAACUCCAGAACUGCCUUCGAUACUGAGAGUCUCGAGUCCGGGAGAGGUGAGUGGAACUGCGAGUGUAGAGGUGAAAUUCGUAGAUAUUCGCAAGAACACCAGUGGCGAAGGCGGCUCACUGGCCCGGAACUGACGCUGAGGUGCGAAAGCGUGGGGAGCAAACAGG
rnacentral:rRNA from 1 species